UCCAAUAUUUAUUACUUGGUAUUUGAUUUUGAGUUAGUGGGUGUCGGUGGCAAUCAUCCUUUCAUCACUUUUCUGCUUCUUCUUCUUGGAUUCCAUGGGGGCAGCAGCAACAAGCAGCCCAUUAGGCGUUGUCUACCGCAGAAUAAAGAAAGAGAAGAGCAAAGAGUCUUUGCUUUAAUUGCGAUGAGACUUACCCAGAAGGUCACUUUUGCAAGAAAACAAUUAUGGCCAUUCUUGAGGCACCGGCACCACUCGAUACAGAUCGCACUACCACCUUCCUGUCUUCUCUUCCUUCUCCAUUCUCUUCUCUCUCCACUGAGAUUGCUUGCUCGGUCUAGUCGGCCACCGAGUUGACUCACUUCCUCGUCCUCCAGAGCAAGGAGCUCCAGUCCGUGCUCGAAGGAUCCGAUUCGAAGUUCGUCGACCUGUUUGUAAAAGAUUUGAGGUUUUGGUGUUUGAGAAGGGUUUGAGUACUGUGGGUGAGUGAGGGACAGUUCAGAGGUCCAAUCCAGUUAUAGAGUAAUGCUUUGGCUGCUUUGGAAGCUAUUGAUUUGGAUGUGGCUGAGGAGUUCUGCAUUUUUGGGAGGACUUCGGAUCUGUGGAGUUGAGAAAUGAGAGUGAGGGAGUGAGAGUUCGGUGGAGCUUGCAGAUUUUGAUGUUAAUGUGAUGAUGAUGUAGGUGAUGAUGAUGAUGAUGUGGGUGGUGAUGAUGGUAAUAAUGUAAAUGGAUGCUACCCUUGUGCUGCCGGAAUUGGAUGCAAACUCAUUUUGGCAUGAUGACAGAUUGAGUUACAUGAGCAUGAGGGCCAUGAGGUGCAGCAAUCAUCGAGUUCAUGACCUUGGCAAGAUUCGGGAUAAGGUGAUUGACGGUUUGAGUUGGUGGACGAUUGUGGAUCGUAUUUUGAGCUGAAUUGAAGACGCAGCGGGAUUAUCGAGCGGGUAAUCCUACAGGACAGGAGAACCAGGACGGUGAUCGUGCGGUUAGAGCAAUUGUUAGAGUUUUACAACAAUUGUAAGUUGUGAGGUGUGUUAUGCUCAUUUGAGCUUUAUAAUAUAUUGUGAGAGUGAAUUGUAAUAA